rnacentral:snoRNA from 23 species
UAAUAUGAUGAUUUGUUGUCGACCGGGCGGACAUAUUAGUAUCUGCUAAAGGAUCGCCAUCUACUUCGCAUCGUUCUUUUGUGUACAAAUUUUUUAAAGGAGCGGUGUUGAUGGCAUUACGGUUCUCUAGUGGAGAAUUGAUGAUUGGUCACAAGACAUCUGAUU